rnacentral:lncRNA from 10 species
CACCGCGCCCGGCCAGAGUAUGACAUCUUUUAUGUCAAGGGACAAAACCCUGUUUCUCCCUUUGUGGGGUUACAGCACAAAGUCUGACAGCUCACAAAAAUGAACCUUCACAGAUCUAUCCAUCAAUUCUUCUCUCUCAGAAAAAUGCGGUCGCUACUAAACGGGCCCUGGACUUCAUUUCCAUGGGGAGCACUGUAUGAGUGUGCCCCUGAAACUAGUGUCCUUCUCCCUCCGUCCCUCCUCUCUUCUUUCCUUUCUCUUACUUUCUCUUUUCCUUCCUCCUCAACUGUGUAUUAAGAUCUUUUUCUGCCAGGUACAGUGCUGGAAGCGGGGAUACAGGGACAAAUAAGACACAGAUCCUGUUCCUAAAGAGGUAAUGUUCCCAUUAUAGAAGGGAAGAACAUGGACUUUGGGGCCUGAGUGUGUCAAACAAAAUAAGUUCUUUAACCUCUCUGGGUCUCAGUUUCCUCAUGUGUGAGAUAGUCUAACACAGGAAUCUGCCUCAGAGUUGUUGUGUGGCUUACAAUGAGAGGAUUAUAUAUGUUAUGCACCUAGAAUGGUGCCAGGCACAUGAAAAUACUACAUAGGUAUUUAUUAUUAUUUGCAUACUGUAUAGUACAGUCCUGAAAGCUGCAUUCUGAUCACUUAUAUUCUCCCAAGAUAAAUCACACAGCAUGGCACAUAGUAAC